ensembl:snRNA U6 U6 spliceosomal RNA
AUGCUCACUUUGGCAGCACAUAUACUAAAAUUGGAAUGAUUCAGAGAUGAUAAGCAUGGCCCCUACACAAGGAUGCCAUGGAAAUUUGUGAAGCAUUAUAUGGCUGU